AACCUUUUAUUUUCUGAAAUCGGCCCUUCACGUAAUGGAUUUUUCAUACAUCAACCCAGUUGAAACCGUAACCAUCAGCUGACCGUUAGCCAAUAGCCGAUCAAAAAAAUUGGUCUACGUGGCAUUCCAGUUGACUGAUGACAUGGCUAACAUUAAAAUAAAUAAGUUGACGUGGCAAAAAAAUUAAAAAAAUUUAAUAAUCAUAAAACAAAAAAAUCCUAAAUCCCCAAACCCCCAAAUUCGAUACUUUUUUCUCAACUUCUAAAAUCCCCAAAUCAUGAAAUUUCCCAAAUCCUUAACCUCUG
rnacentral:lncRNA from 1 species